UCUAGAACACUGGUGCAUGCACAUGCUCAAUUUUUUAUUUGUUCUCGAGUUCGUGUUUUGUCGUUUUUUUCGUUCGUGAGUAUGACGAGUUUCUUUUUUUUUGUUAUUUGUAGAAGUACAACGUCGCGCAGCUAGAAUUGUGAAGGUUGGAGAUCUUAAUGAGAACAAAAACGCGGGUUAACCUAACCAUGUUGUAUUUUUUCUUUGUUUGGACAAAAGCUCGUUGACAUUGCGACGGAUUGCUCCUGGCACGCGCUAUUUCGCGUCGGACUCGUUUUUAACGCGAGCGUUUGCUGCUUUGUAUUUCGUUCUAUUGUGAAAGUGUGGCUGUGGAUCCGAUCGAGAUUCAUAGCGAGAGCGAAAUAUAUGCUGCUAUUAGACAGGCAGAGCAAAGAUAGAAAUAGAGAGAGAGAGAGAAAGAAAAUGGGUGUGUGUGAGAGAGAGAGAGAGAGAGAUAGAGAAGAGAAACGAAGACAUAUCGAGAAAUCAUCACCUCAAAUGCUGUGCUUUGAUAUUACAACUAGAACUUCGAGCCUCAAAUUGUGCCAGUUUCCACGCAAUAAGUCACAGAAGAGAGAGAAGGAUAGAGACAGACAAAGAGGAACAAUGUCAACAAUGUAGAUAAACGAGUGCGAACUGUCGUGUUUUUUUACUAUUCAUCAUCGGAUUUCUCAUAUUUUUUGUAAUUUCGUGGUGCUGCUGCGUGUGUGAUUUAACUCGAAAUGUUCAAACGAAAAUCUCACACUGAUUUCCAUUUCAGUGGAAAACUUGAUUUAAAAAAAAAAAAAAAACGACAUUAGAUUCGAAUGAUACUCGAAGUUUUUCAAAACUGAAAAAUUCUUUCGAGUUGAAAUAUAUUCCGGCACAAUGACAACAAAUUUUCUCUUUUUCAAAAUUUAACUCGAAAAUAGUGUGACUGAAAGGUCAUAAUUCUCGUUGGUUUGCUGCAACUUCAAAAUUCGUUGUGACCACAAAAAAAUGCGUUCGGGAGGCAAGUUUUCGAAAAAUUGAUGUCAAAUGAGAUGCACGUUCGAUCGGUAGUCCCAAACUGUAUGAAAAAACGAGCCGAUAAAAAAUCGAGUUGAGAUUGCAAUAUCGAUGUCUUUUCUCAUUGCCCGGCGGAGAGAUUUGCUGAAAAGAGUGUUAAAAAUGAGGUCGUCGCGACGAGUAAUAAAAAAUUACGAAAUAAUGUAAACGAAGAGAAAAACGACGACGAUGAUUCGCUGACUCGAGAACACACACGUUUUAACAGUAUUAUUAUUCGUGAUAGAGAAUUUGCUCUGUCAAAGAGUGGAAGGCGAUAGAUAAGAGAGGAGAAGAUGGUGAUUGAAGAGAGCAAAAAAAGCUAAGACGCAUCCGGUGAAGAGAGUUUCUACGAUUCAUAGAGAAAAUUGAGUGGUUCUUUUUGAAAGUAAUUUUGGCAUGUUGUACUACCAAAGCUGCUAUACUGUCUGACGCUGGUGAGGAUCGACUGGGAGGUCAAAGAAGCCUGGGGAGUGGUCGUAGUGAGGUUGCGAAUAUCGAGACUGCUUUGGGGAUGGAAUACGUGGCUUGCCGAAAAGCUGCCAGAGCUCGAACCUUCUCCUUCGUAGUUGCUGAUUGUGGUGCUCAGGCAUUUUUGUAAUUUUCGAAUACCGUGAGGCCGCGAGUGACGCAGUCCAGAAUCCGUGGCAGCCUUGCGACGGAGAGUCACCUGGAAAGCGGUACGAAUAGAUCGUAUGGACUGAAAAGUAUUUGUCUCGUUUAGAAAAAUACGACUGUGCGAAUUCACGGUAAGAGGGAGUCGAAUAAAAUGGUAGACAACUGUAAACGAGGAAUCGCACGAUCACGAUAUAAAAUGGAGCGAACAAGAGUGCUGUUCCCUUUUUUCCGAGUAACGAUCAAGGACUGCAGUUCGCGCAUCGCUUAGCCAUUAACCCGGAAGCGGAGAGAAUCGUAAAAAGUAAAAACCUCACUGCUCCAGACGACUGUAAAAAGGGGUCGAAGAGUAAAAAGUGGUGCCGCAGUGAGCCGGGAUUGCUGCCUAAAAGGGAGGAAAAAUUCCAUGAAAUAAAUACGCGUCCUGAUCGAUGGCCCGACGAUAAAUUCGAGUAAAUAUAGCGGAAUUUAAUAAAUUGUAUGGCAGAGCGACGAGACGAAUAUCUCAUUACACAAUUGAGGGUCGAAGCACAGAGGCAAAGUGGGCCUCGUGAAUAAUCGAUCUCGUGCGGCGCACGAUCUCGUUCUGGGUCAUAGCAAUAACUUAUUAAACCAAAGGUGCUUUCGAGGGGUAAAUUACACGACGUCCGAGUGGCCGAUAGCAGUAAUAACAAUGGCUUCGUACAUUUGGUGAAAAGUUUGAGAUUUUCACCGAUUAUCUUCGUUGCCUGCACCAAAGUUACGCUAAAUAAUGGAGCUGCAGAGUCUUGAAUAUCAGUCAGUCAAUACCGAGGUGCGAAAGGGACGAAUUUCAACGUAGAAAAAUAAAGUAUCUUCAUUCGUAACUGAAGUGUGUGAUCGAUCGUGAGAUAAAAAAACAAACAAACAAACAAACAAAAGCGAAUGGACUCUUCGAAAAAAAAAAUCAACGAUUCCACCCGAUUGCUCAAUUUUCUUUGAAACUCUAUUACAAUCUUCCAACUAUUAUUAUUAUUAUUAUCAUUAUUGUUAUUGUUAUUAUCAUUAGCAUUGUCAUAACGUGCAAGCAACUUGGAACGAUUCGAAAAAGCUUUGAAGGGCAACCUUUUACCCACCAUAAACUUGGGACAUGUACGUAAAAUGCAUUAACAUACACAUCGUAUAUGUAUGCCGCAUCAAUGAUGCUACACCGAAUACGAGUAACGAGUGUUGGCUUAUUUUCAUAUUCCAUGGAUAACAUUUACUGCCAGCUACGCAUUAUUUAGUAUAUUUACAUUCGUACAUAUAUGUGUAUACAUAGGAGGCAAACGUUAAUAAAUUAAUACCGAAGCAAGCUCUCGAUAAGAGUGUGUCCAUGUGUGUGAGUGUCGUGUAUCCAAAGUUCGAAAUUUCAUAGACCCAACAGUAUUGUAAACACAGUAAUAUAACGAUAAAUGUAUAAAAAGUUUUACGAAAUUAAUAGAUCAUUGGAUAAAACGAAUAAAACGUUGCUGUGCAACAGUGCUUUUCAUAAUAGCACAACGAUUAUUCGGUAUGCAGGAGUACACGUACGAAUGAAUAUAUGUAAAUAUAAAAAAUAAGGCGAAGAAAUAUAAAAAUGUGAUAAAUUUUUCGAUAAACAUGAUGGUAGUAUAUAACUGGAUUACAAAAUAGAUCGAGUAAGCAAAAUUUCUAAGCUAAAUUAUCCUACAAGCAACGUGGUAUUGCGCUGUGUAACUGGUUCGAUGUGUAUAUCGAAACUUGAUGCAAUUCAGCGACAGGAAUAUACAAAAAGCCUCAGUGAUGCUUUCGAAUAUUUGGGAGUUCGAUAAACCUGGGGAAUCUCGAGCACACCAUUAUUUUUCGUAUCGUCACUGAUGCUUUUUUGUUUUUUGCUCCACGGGCCUAUUCAAUAUUGAAUAAUACCAAUAAUAAUAGUAAUAAUAAUAAUAAUAAUGAAAAAAAUUAAAUUUAUCAACAGAAAAGAGCGCUCAUUGCCACGUAUAAUUAUCCAAAAAUUCUCUCUCUUCAUUUCUUUCUCACACACUCGCUCUCUCUCUCUCUCUCUCUCUCUCUCUCUCUCUCGGCGGUGAACGGAAAAAUUCGUGAAACCUUAAUUUUACCUGAAUCAAACUUGCUGUCAGGGAAGACCGCGAAAUUGAUUUGAACCUGAAAAAGUGUUUUAGUACAAUAUCCUCACGGUCUUGUAUUUGGUGGUUGGAGAAAAAAAGAGGAAAAAUUCCAAAAAAAAAAAAAAAUGAAAAACAAUCAUGUAAGAUGCGGGGUCACAA